AGUCGUAACAAGGUUUCCGUAGGUGAACCUGCGGAAGGAUCAUUAACACAAACUGCGGCUGCGCAUGUGCACGUCGCCCCUUCACCGGGGACCCACGAUUGCUGCUGGCGCUCCGCAUUUGGAUCCACAUCCAUUUACCCCUGUGAACUGUUAAAGUCUUUACAUAGUGAAAUCAACACCAUGUGAUGUACUUCGACUGAACACUAGAAGCUGAAGAGCCGCGCGCGCAAGUGCACAGCCUUUCUUCUUCGAAAAACUAAACCAAAGACAACUUUUAACAACGGAUAUCUUGGUUCUC
rnacentral:misc_RNA from 1 species